ACAUAUUUUAUUUUAUAAAUACGACAGACUAGUUAGUUAGAUACAGCAAGUAUUUAAUACUUACGCAGUGAUUCACGUAUAACAAUUCACAUUACUGAACAAGGUAAAGUUUUAAGCUGUCAUUCAGCGUUGGUCAUUUCAGCGUGCUUGUGCCUUUAAGCAGAGCUUCAUUCACCCCAGUCCGCCUUAAAGCGCCAAGCAUGUGUCUGUGAGGGCCUCCCCCUGAUCGCUCUGCAAAAGACUGACUGACUGAGCUCUUAAGGUGGACCGGGCGAGAUAUGCUGUACAUCUAUUAAUUGUGCAACUGUUAUGAGAUCAUAAAGAGUUAAUUCCCACGGUCUGUCGCUUAACCUCAAAAUGACCCGGUCUUGUAAUUUGGAUAAAUGUAACAUUAUUUACGAGCUAUUUAUUAUUUUACAUAAUUAAACUUAACACGAUCAACUGUUUUAACAAUUGAACAUGUUUACUGUAGUCCAAUAUAAAAACCAGAUAAAACCUUUUAAACAAAACUAUGUACAACAAAAUUAAAUGCAUUUUUACUAGCAUCAACUUAACAAACCUUAGAAUUAUGGGCUUUUAAAUGCAUUUCUUUUUUACAUCAACACACGUUUUUUUGUGAACAAAACAGAUCGGUAUGCCACAAUGCUAAUGGUCUUACUUAAAUCACUUAUAUUCAGGGGCAUAGCCAGAACUUUUUUUAGAGGUGGUCAGGUAAGACCCAGUGGUUUUAUUAGGGUGACCAAAAAAUCCUUACAGACGGAAAUUCUUUAACUUCUACUGUAAUUUACACCAAUUCUUCAUUACACAUAGUUUGCUGGUCAAAAACAUACACAAAGAACGUAAAGUAAACAAUUUAUUUGCAAUGCUUUCAUGUGCUAACAUUUUUUAAAAAUAAUUUGCUAGCUAUCAUUUGCAGUAAGUUAGCAUUUUUUAUAGAAAAUAAACAUUGCAGUACCCCAACUUAAACUUUCGUGAAAAUGUAAUUAAUGAAUGAAAUCCAGUUCAACAAGACUGAUUUUACUGACUUGGGGCCUCUUGUAUCAACGUUGCGUACGCCAGCUUUCACGCUCAGGGUCGGAUGUACUAACAGUGAAAUUAAUGAGAAUGUGCGUUCCUCCACGCCAACUUCAUGUCUGGCGUGAGUUUUUUUGUGCGUACGCACAUUUACAGCUUUGUCCGUACGCAAUGUUUUAGUAUGGAAUCAACGCAAGUCUUUGUACAUGAGACCCCUGAUCCUUCUGCUCGCGAUGGACUUCCAUGGUACACAGACAGUACCUGUCACAAAGCGGUAGCAGUUGUUCAGCUAUAGCGCUCAGACUGUUUGUGUCAGUGCGUCAGCGUAUGACAUCAUAUUAACGCGAGAGUAAUGUUCUCGCGUUACUUUCAGUGCAUACGCUCAAUGAUCUGCGCAGCACUCCGUAAACUCCGACACACAUCUUAAAACUGCUUCGCACAACAGAGGUGGCCAGAUAGGUGGCCAUCCUUCAUUCAGGGGUAGCCGUGUAGCUACGCCCCUUCUUAUAUUAAAGGGAUUACCUUUAACAUCUGUGAUUCCAGAAAACAACAGUAAUUUGCCUAGACCUGUUGAAAACUAAAAAUCUCUUGGGUCUUUGUAACCUAUAUUGUUUGGACUGAGGUUCAGGGCUUAGGACAGUCGUGCGUUAGUGCAGAGUAGGACAUCAACCAGAUGGCAGAAAGAUUACAAAGCAACCUCAGGUGGACUGCAUUCUAAGCAUCAGCUUGGAGAGGCAGUAGUUUUAGGGAAGGUUACAAUCAUUGAUCACGGACACACCAGUGAUAAACCGAAAAUGAAUCACAUUUGAGAAACACUAAUGAACUGCAAUUUUCGAUUUCUGACCUGAGAAACAGGUAAGUGUUAUUCUGUUAUAUUUUAUUACUGUGAUGAGCCUUGUAUUGACUACAUUUUACUCAUUGUUAUGCUGCAUGCCAUGUCUGUUUUUGCAAUAAUCAUACACAUCUCCAAAUCUUUGCAUAUAAGUUUCCUCACCUUAAAGGAAUAGUUCAUCAUCUAUUCACCCUGUUUAAAUGUCAAGGUCCCCAAUGACCCCAAUAUGGACACAAAACCAAUGCAAGGCAAUGGGGACCAACGGAUUUCUGUUAUCAACAAUUUUUAAAUAUCCUCUUUUGUGUUCUGAAAAAGAAAGAAAGUCACACAGGUUUGAAAUCACAAGAGGGCAUUUAAAUAAUGACAUCAUUUUAAUUUUGAAGGUGAACUAUAUCCCUUUGAACACUUUUCAAAUUAUUGUUUUACCUAUUAGCAUUUUUUUUAUCAGUUCAGAUGCUGUUUAAGAAAUACAAUACAUUAUAAUAGGGGUAAGUAAAGUUAAACCAGUUGAUUACAGAUAUCUUAUUAGAUAUUUACAUUUACAUUUAGUCAUUUAGCAGACGCUUUUAUCCAAAACGACUUACAGAUGAUGGAAACAAUGGAAGCAAUUGGAACAACAUAAGGACGACACAAAGCAUAAGUGCAAUAAAAAAACUGGUCUCAUAUAGUAUACAGAGCUAAGUUUUUUUUUUUUUGAAAGACUAGAAAAGAGAUAUAAGUCAGAACUGAUCGGUCAGGAAGAGAUGUGUUUUCAGACGAUUCUUAAAGAUGGCUACAGAAUUUGCUGAUCUUGUAGCAGCGGGCAGAUCAUUCCAUAAAUGUGGAACCGAUUCAGAGAAGGUACGUGAGAGAGAUUUUUUUACCUUUUUGGGAUGGCACCACAUGGUCGUUCGUUUGGAGAGCGUAGGGAUCUGGCAGGUACAUCAGAAGAUAUAAAAUAGCUAUUACUAUGAUAGUUCUUAUAGUAGAUUUAUGAUAUACUAACUGCAUAAAAUCUUCACUGCUUCUUCAGUAAAGAUAUAAUUACAGUUUUUCAGGUUAGCCUUGCUUUCCGCUACCUACAUACUGCAUAUCUAGCAUGUUUUUCUGAUUUUAACUGGGUUAACAAUUUCACUUGAAAAACAUGGUUUUAAUAGUAGUUUUAAUAAUCUAUAUAUAUUCUGUUUUGUCAAGGGGCAGGUCCUGGCACCUUUUGUCUCAACACAGCCUGUGGAAAUGAUCAGAACAUGAUGGCUUGGCUCCUCACUCCAAUAUUAGGAUGGCCUCUUGUGCAACCUGCUACCACACAUAGCUCAAUCUCAACACAAUCCUUGGACCAAAACGACCUAAACUCCCAAGGAAUUAAUCAUUUUCAGCAAACUCAUUCCAUAUCUCGUCCCUCAAGCUGGAUUGACGAAAGAGUUGACAAUAGGUUAUACAGAGACUUGCUUUUGCCCAUUUGGCCCAACUUUGCCAUUAAUGGGGAUCAGGGGAAGGUAGUGGACUUCAGUGGCGUAUUGAGGUUAUGAUGCCCUCUAGCGGACUGUUAGAGAUGGACACGUUCAUUUCAGACAGAGCAGAGAAACUAGACUUUGAGGACCCUCCCGUUCCACAAAGGCAAACACAAUAUAUUGUAAGCGAUGACGAUGAUCGAGAUGUCAUUUUAGCAAAGACAAACACUGACCUUUAUCAAGCCACGUCCACAAUGCCUGUUCAGUUGACUACACACACACACCACAUUUACAAAUAACAAUGAGAGAAUGAACAAAGACCAGCUUUUGUUGACAACCAGCAAACCAAUCACACAGAACAAGACUACUGUAAACUCUUCUCCGGUCAAUAUGCAUGUACAUAGUUUUAUAACUAAUGACAAACUCGAUCACAGUACAUCACUGAAUGAGUUACAGAUGAACAACAAUGAAGAUGUUAAGACUUUUAAAGAAACAAGGUUUACUUCAUCCACACAGCUUUUACGCUCCAUCACAAAGCCUGAAAUGUUGGGAAACAAAGACACCCUUAUGGUGCAAUCCGAGUCCUUUGAUAAUCUCACAGUGAAAGAGGAACGGUAUGUUACAAACCACGCUCCUACAUCAACACCACCAUUAGAGACUGGUUGGUAUAAACAAUUGGUGAUUUUUGCAUAACUAUUAGUUAUUUACAAUUAGUUGUGGAAACGACGGGACUCUAGUUGGGGACAAAAAUCCCUCUAUACUAAUGUAUGACAUAUGCCUAAGGUUUGGAGGCUAUUAAACGGAUAAAAGUUGUAAAUCAUCUAUGCUUUGAAGUAUAACUUGAAAUUUAUUGCUUGGACUCCCUCCGAGUCCCUUCUAUUUCGAGCCCUAAUUAUAAUACAUACAAAAUAAUGAUUAUCUUUCUAUUUCAGGUCAGUGGAGAGGUGAAGAGACUACCUCUGAAUUACAAAUCCCCACAGAAUUACCAUUAACAAAUCUGUCUGUAAUACAGGCAAAUACAAGUACGGAUAAAACUGAAGAGCAAGGUAGUCAUAUACUAUGAAAAACCAAAAUGGUUUGGAGGUUUGUUUGGACCAUUAACAGACUUGUCUGGUACAAUAGCGUCAUGUAUGCCAGGUCCAUGUGUGGUUUCCACCAACAGCAACAUCACUCGUCUACAGUGGGAGGAUCUGAAAUGGACACUAACCUUUGCGUGGGACCGUCAUGUCUAUGGAUCAGCUAUACUCUUCUCAUUGGUUGUAAUUGUUGCUACUCUUGGCGUCAUUGGUGGAACUCAUAUGCACCAUCCUUGGACUUUCAUUCUUGUGAAUAUCCUGCUUCUAUUGGCAGGUUUGCUUCGAUUAGUACUGUUCAUUAUAGACCCGUACGGUACAAGAAAAAUAAUGCCUGACCCCCCUAACUAUAUUCUAUAACUUACCCAUUACCUUACUGCUCUGGGCCCAAGCCACCCUGGCACUGACAAGAGAGACUGAGCCUUCAAAUCUCCUCUCAACAUCUCAUUGAUUGGCGGCCAUGCACUGUACCUCCGUCCUGAUGGCUGACCUGCUAUCAAAUAACUUGUCUCCAGCACUACCAUCAAUGCUCCAGACACUUGUACUAUUUGCUGGGGUUUACCACUUUGUUUAGGAAUCUUUUUCCAGUCUCUAAAGCAGCACCAUCCUUCACACAGGACACCGUUACCAAGGUAGAGCGCCUCCAAGCGCAUAGUAAACAACGUCAGACGUGUGCUUUUGUUGUGUGGCCUACUGGGGGUGCUCUCUUGUGCAUUACACAUCUAUCUACUGGCAAAGGUUUGGGUGGGGCUGGUGGGUGAUCCAACUCUGUGCACGACUGUUGGAAUUGGCAUGGAGUUUUUCUCUUCUGCUGCUGGGAUCUCGGGUAUUCUGGAGGCCACGAUGAGAGCAGAGCAAAGAAAGGGGACUACUAGAAGAGCACAGAAAGGACAAGAGAUGUCAUAUCAUAUGUAAUGAUGUGAUACGGAAAGGCAUCUCCCUUUGCUAUACUUUGACCGUGAAGUGAUUCUUUCCUGCCCUUUGACACUGCCAACAGUUGCCUCCACCGUACCUUCUGCUGACCCUCAAGUACCCCUAACUUUUUACCCUUUCCCAUGGUGGUAUUAUCCAUCUCCUCCUACCCUUGCGCCUGGACCCAAAGUAUGACUCUUGUGGCAUAUUUUUCUACUAUUGCAGUAAAUGGAUGAGAUGGGGGGGAUGACAUCUGUUUGGUUACUGACACUCUUCCAAAUAUCUUUUGUGUUCAGCAGAAAAUGUUACAAGACCAUUGUCAAACAAGUACAACACUCAGGUUGACGUUAUAAAACUUGUCAGAUUUAUUGGUGGCACUGAACAAAUGAAUACUACACACAAGGACACCUCAAAUACAUGAAAAAAAAUACACAUGAAAAGGAAUACAAGAAAAUUGUACAGCACUCAAUUAUAACACAAUUGAGAGUCACAUUGGACAUGCAUCUAAAAGCUCAUCUCUACCUAUGUUUUACCUCGCGCCCUCGCGCCCAUUCUCCCAAACCGUGGGAGAAAACAAGUUACAAACAAAAAGAAACUAGUCAGUCCUCAAGGCCUUACCAUCGGGCCUAAUUACUCACUCACCAGGCGGACAAGAAAAUUAACCAAAACCAAACAAAAAUACCAAAUAAUAAAUGAAUAACAAGAAAAUAGGCCCCUGUCGAGCCAACCUAAGCUCUGCAGUGCUGUCUCAAAGAUCCAAACAGACCCACACGUAAACAACUUUGCAAAUAACAAUGAGCAGGACAAUCAACUUCAGAUUCUCGUAUACAUGUCCAUUUAUUUCAGACACCACAGAGCGGUUUCAAUUAUCAGACAUGCAAAUCUGUUGCAUAACCCCAAUACAGUUCAUGCACCGAUCUAUUUCAGGCACCAGAGAGCUGCUCCAAACAUCCAACACUCACAUGCGAAUCCUUCGCGUGCCCAGAAUGUGUGUCAACUUAUUUCUGCCGGCCAGAAACCAACACACCUAACAACAGCUUCCUACCUAGAACAUUUAUACUGUUGACCACACCAACUUCAUUCAUAACUAUAAUAUGUACUGUACAUGUUUGCAACAACCUGGGGUGAACUAUCCCUUUAACUGGUUCAUGUGAGUAACGUUUAUUUGUUUACUGAAAACACAAACACCUGUAUGUUUUGACAACUUGGUAUUUUAAAGUUCUGUUUUGAGUCUCUGACAUUCUAUGUCUCCGUCAAAUUUUGCCACGCGCAGUAUGACCACAGUAUGACAACACGUAUGCUCCAUCAUUGGGCUUUCAUUCUUUGCAAUAUCCUGCUGCUGUUGGCAGGAUUGCUUCGAUUAGUGCUGUUCAUUAUAGACCAGUAUGGUACCUUCAAACCUCCCCUCAAAACUCUCUCAUUGACUGGCGGUUUGGCAGCCAUGCGCUGAACCUCCAUCCUGAUGCCUGACCUGCUAUCACCAUUAAUGCUCCAGACACUUACUGUUUGCAGAACUGUUUGCUGUCCUACAUUCUUCAAAAAUGUCAUCUUUUGUGUUCAACACAAGAAUAAAAAAUUAUAAAGUAAUUUUUCCUACUAUGUGAGUCAAUGGGGG